UCUUUGAUUUCAUUAGCCACUUUUCCUUGUCUCCUUGUUACUUGGCAAGCAUCUCAUGUGUCACUUGAUCUACUCUUUGUCCUUCUAAUCAUCCUUACUGUCUAGUGAUAAUAGUGAUAAUUCACUAAAUGUAUGCAAACACACAAUAAACUAAUAAACAGUAUGGCUGCUAUGAAAGGACAUUGCAUGACAUCCACUGAUGCCACUUGUGCAAGGUAGGAAGAGAGGGAGUGCUUUGGCUCUAGCACGGGGCUUUGUGGGUUGGAAGUCUGGAGGUGGAGAGCUUCUGUGAACCACUCGGUCUGCCCAAAAGCCCUGUUCUCCAUCCUUGAUGCCUCUGCUCCUAAGUGAUACUACUUUCAAUCCAGGAGCCCAGGAGCCCAGAACAGAUCCAUUUAUCCUGGAAGUCACAGGGUAGGGUAGUGGAGGCUCCAUCACAUAGACGUAAAGGCAGUGCAAGGUGCAGUGCAACUUAUGAAUGCACAAAGGCCCCUCAUCCCCCAGUGUGGUCCACAGCCAUGGUACAUCCUGUGAAAGGGGGAAAGAUACUGUGCUUCAAGUGUUACAGUUCUUAAUAACCCACUCUUCCCAUGUAUAUCCACAGGAAGACAGACAGACACACACACAUACACACAUACACACACACACACACACAGAGCCAUUUUAUACCCAAAGUCACAUUCAUGGGUCUAAGAUAGUCAGGUCAAGGAUAGUUCCUGAAUUAGCCAAACACCGUGGCCCUCCCUCUCUAAACCCUGGGCCAGACUCCCAUCCUAUGGUGACUUCUCCCUCAGCAUCUCCUAUGCUCCUCUCCUGCCCUCUGGCAUCUGCUGGGCCAAAUCCAUUUAUAACAUAUAUUGUAACAACAUUCCAUUUUAUCGGGAAGGUUUUAAGGUCUCAAUGCAGACACUCCCUAGAGACACCUGUGUUCCUGAUGCUAAUGCACCCCAACUCUCUCCAUCACAGCCAACUCCCUUGACAUGUAUAUUACCAAUGAGCCAUUCCAUGAACUUGCCCAGAACAAGACAAGAGAAAGUAGUUAGAGACAUAAAAAUUGGAAAGGAAGAAGUCAUCACUAUUUUAAAAUUCUAUGAUGAUACACCAGAAAACAAGAAAACUGACAGGAAACCUAUAGUAAACAAUAAGAAUAUUUAAUAACGUAGCAGGCUACAGAAUUAAUAAACAAGCAAUUACCAGUCAGAAGAUAUAAUGAGGGGGAAGAUCUUCAUUUAUAAUAGGAACCAGAGAGAAAGAAGAUAAUAUAAACUUAACCCAAAAAUUCCACAGCUACAGAAAAAAACUUGAAAACAGUUCUGAAGGAAAAAAAUGAGACUUGAACAAAUAGAUGAACUAUGUUGUGAUAUAUCACUACUCUCUAAAGGAAUUCACAAAUUAAACAUUAUACCAAUCUAACUACCAAUAGACUUAUCAUUUUCUGGAGCUAGACAAGAUGAUUCUAAAGUCCUCCAAGAGGAAUAAAGUAGGAAAAUUCCAAAAAGCAAGAGCAAAGAGUGGUAUUAAUGUAUACUGCUGGCUGGGUGCUGUGGCUCACACCUGUAGUCCCAACACUUUGGGAGACCAAAGUGGGAGGAUCGCUUGAGGCCAGGGGUUCAAGACAAGUCUGGGCAACAUAGCAAGAUCCAAGCUCUACAAAAAAUUAAAUAAAACUAGCUAGACACGGUGGUGCAUGCCUACAGUCCCAGCUACUUGGGAGACUGAUAUGGGAGGAUCACUUGAGCCCAGAAGUUCAAGGCUGAGCUAUGAUUGUGAGCUAUGAUUGUGCCACCACCCUCCAGCCGAGGCAACAGAGUAAGACCUUGUCUCUUAAAAAAAAAAAAAAAAAAAAAAAAAAAAAAA
rnacentral:lncRNA from 1 species